rnacentral:misc_RNA from 1 species
UCGUCUAACGCCGUACAUGGCGAAUUAUUCAUGUCUGUGGAGUUACGAAUCGAUAUGAAAAUCACAAAGCGAACAGAAUAUUGAACUCUUUGAAAUUCCUAGUAUCAGCUGUACAGUUUUCCUCCGCUGAUUGUUACAAAUUAAAAUUGAGAAUUGUCUUUUUACCAGAUACAAGUACAAUUCCUUCGUGGGUGGUACAUCCGAUGAUGAAUGGAACCUCGGAACCCUCCAAACCGAUUUCUUUCGGAUGUCUCGGCAUGAAUGGUUCCUUACUUUUGUCAUCGACACUCGGCAUGAAAGGCAGCUCUACCCAACGCUGAUCCUGAAGCAACGAACCACCGUACGCGUGAGUUGAAAUUUUAUCACAUAAUAUAUCAUCGAUUGUCAAAACCGGAGGUAACAAACCUCCGGACGUGUUAUAUCCAAUUGCGUUUGCAUAAGUUUUUCUGCCGGAAUCGUCCUGAGAAAUUCUACGAUCUCUUUGGGAUCGCUCAUUUCUUUUCCAAAAGCAGCAAGAUAUCGGCGUAAAUGUUCGGCCGAUUGCGACUCACUCAUUGAAGACCAAGUGUCCAAUGCAGUACCACUCUGUAUGAUGGCUUUAUUGAAAAGUCCUUGAACACGAGGAGAGUAGAGUCAGCCGUU